UGGCGGACGGGUGAGUAAUGUCUGGGAAACUGCCUGAUGGGGGGGGAUAACUACUGGAAACGGUAGCUAAUACCGCAUAACGUCGCAAGACCAAAGAGGGGGACCUUAGGGCCUCUUGCCAUCGGAUGUGCCCAGAUGGGAUUAGCUAGUAGGUGGGGUAAUGGCUCACCUAGGCGACGAUCCCUAGCUGGUCUGAGAGGAUGACCAGCCACACUGGAACUGAGACACGGUCCAG
rnacentral:rRNA from 1 species